GUGCAGGCCAGGGUGAGGAAGGCCUGGUAUUUAGGCGUAGGCAUGUGGCAUCGGGGUGAGGAGGGCUUAGGUGGGUGGACAUACCGUGUAUGUUAGGGGACCAGAUGCAGCAAAGGGGGACACCAAGGUAGUUGGGAGAUACGGAUGCAGUGAGGGGGGACACAGAGUAAGUGGGGGAGCACUGAGGCAGUUGGGAGGCACAGAGGCAGUUUUGGAGAUACUGAAGUAACUGGGAGACACCAAGUCAAGGGAAGACACUCAGGAGUGGGGGAAGUCUGAAGCAUCACAGCCCAUGUCCUCAGGACACUCUGUGUCAUUUGUCAUUCACCAAGCUCCGCACUGGGUACCGAGUAGUCCCCAUCCACCUGCAGUCAGUAAACCAGGUGUUCCUGGGGUCUGAGCCGGGGUCAGGUUGUUUGCCCAAGAGGGGGAAAGAUAGGAAGGGGCAGAGGGUGGGGCAGGGCAGCUGUAUCCUUGGUCUCCAUGGAGAAGCACCUGGAUUCCAAAGUCCUUCGCACCCCCCUCAACAACCUUCAUGACCAUGCGACCACAGCCCCUUCGGAGCCCACCUUCCAUGAACCUCCCCGUGGGAUUGCCCUUGCCAUCAUUGAACCUGUUGUCUGUCUAGCUGUGCCACCCAUGUUACCUGCUGCGAAUCCCAGUCCAGGAGGCCCAGGCGGGUGCCAGCAGCCACCACUUAGCUGCCCUUUCCCUUGCAGCCAAUGCGGUGUCCUGGGGGCUAGAGGGUCGUGGGGCACGAACUGGGUGGGCAAGUGGCCUCGGUCGGGGUGGGUGAGGGGACAGAGGGCUAGGGGAUAUGGACGAGGUGGGUCAGGGGCCUGGGCCAGGGGUCAGCAGCUCCACAUCCUAGGGCUCCCCACAGGGCCCAGGGCUUUCACCCAAAGCCCAGGACUCCUCCCCACUGCCCUGAGGUCCAGCACUGCUCCCCUAACCACACCUGUAUCUCUUACUUUCCCAGGUGCACUGCUUGCACCUAAAUGCUGUGAGCACUCUCCUCUCCCCUUCACCCAACCACACCUGUUGCUCUCACUCCCACCCAGUUAUCUCCUCCCAGCACUCACCACUCCCCUCCCCCAGAUCCCCACACACAGCCUUUGCCCUUACCCAGGCUCACCACCUGCACCUGCCCGCUGUGCGGGCUCCAGUGGCACAGUCUGCGGGUGGAUGUCCACAUAAAUUGGCUGCCCUGUCACCACCUUCCACCCAUCCUCUGCACAUCACACAUAAGACACAUGCACAGGCCAGAACAUUCAUAACUGCCAAUGACCAAGAAGGUUAUGUAGAGUCUUGGUCAUGUGUAACUGUGUGACCUCAGUAGGUGACCCUGCUCCUCAGAAGAUGACCUUGCCCAUCAGUAGGUGACCCUGCCCCUCAAUAGGUAAUCUUGACCCUCAGCAUGGGAUCUGUCUCAGUAGGUGACCCUGCCUUCAGUAUGUGACCCUGGUCCUCAGUAGGUGAUGCUGUCCCUGAGCAGGUGACCCACAUCUUUGCCCUCAGUAGUUGACUCUUAUUCUGUGGAUAUCUCAGCCUUCAACAGGUGACUCUGCCAAUCAGCAGCUGUCCUGGGUCCUCUGAAGCUGUCCUGUGCCUUAGCUGGUGGCCAUAAUCCUGUGUUGUUCUGCCAGUGUCCUGUGUUGUCAACAGUUUACCAUGGUGCUCAGGAGGUGACCCUGCCCCUCUACAGGUGUUCUGUGUCCUCAGUAGGUGUCCUGUGCUCUCAGAAAGUGGUCCUGCCCUUCUGCUGCUGUCCUAUGCCUUUAUGAGAUGGUUCUGAUAUUCUGCAGAUAUUCUGUGGCUGAGCAGGUGCCCUUGCCCUUCAGCAGGUGCUGUGUGCUCUCAACAGGUGGCCCUGAAUCUCAGCAGAAGGCCCUGGUCCUUAAGAUGUGUCCUGUGAAAGUGUACUGACACUUUGCAGAUGUACAUGUUCUGUGCCCUCAGCAGGUACUACUGCCCCUCAACAGGUACCCCUACUCUUCUGCAGAUGUCCCGUGACUUUUCUAGGUGUCCUGUGCCCCCAACAGGUGGCUCUGGUAAUUUUUCAAUGCUUUGUGUCUUUAGCAGGUGACCCUGCCCAUUUGCAGAUGGCUCUGAUACUUAACAGGCAUCCUUUGCCCUGGACAGUUGGUCCCUCCUUUAUUCAGGUGUCCCGGGCCUUCAACAAGUUGCCCUACUCUUCUGAAGAUGUCCUGUGUCCUCAGCAUGUGACUCUCACCUGCAAGUGGCCCUUGUACAUAACAGCUGUUCUGUGGCCUCAACAUUUGACCAAAUUAAUUUGUAGGUGUUUUGGGGUCCUCUGAAUGUGUUCUGUGCCUUCAGCAGGUGUUCAGACCCCACAGUAGGUGGCCUUGGUCUUUAACAGCUGUCUUGUGACUUCACCAGUUCAUUCUUCCACUCUGUAGCUGUCCUGGGUCCUGUGCAGGAGUUCCAUGCUCUCAACAGGCAGUCCUUCCCUUCUGAAGAUGUUCUGUGCCCUCAUUAGGAAACCUUUCCCCUCUGAAUGUGUUCUCUUUCCUCUGCAGUUUAGGACCUAACAUAAUCCAAACCCUAUCCCUACAUUGACUCCUACCUCUAUCCCUAAACUUGAUGAGUGUUUGUCUCUGAGGGCACUGUAGAACACAAGGGGGCAAAACUGUAAGGAUAUUCAAUAUAAUUUUAUUAAAAAACAUCAAUAUAGAUUUAAUGUAAAUUAACAACAAACAGACUCCAUUUUAUAUAAAACUGCUUUAAACAUUA